rnacentral:rRNA from 1 species
AGCGGCGGACGGGUGAGUAACACGUGGGUAACCUGCCCAAGAGACUGGGAUAACACCUGGAAACAGAUGCUAAUACCGGAUAACAACACUAGACGCAUGUCUAGAGUUUGAAAGAUGGUUCUGCUAUCACUCUUGGAUGGACCUGCGGUGCAUUAGCUAGUUGGUAAGGUAACGGCUUACCAGGGCGACGAUGCAUAGCCGAGUUGAGAGACUGAUCGGCCACAUUGGGACUGAGACACGGCCCAAACUCCUACGGGAGGCAGCAGUAGGGAAUCUUCCACAAUGGACGCAAGUCUGAUGGAGCAACGCCGCGUGAGUGAAGAAGGUUUUCGGAUCGUAAAGCUCUGUUGUUGGUGAAGAAGGAUAGAGGUAGUAACUGGCCUCUAUUUGACGGUAAUCAACCAGAAAGUCACGGCUAACUACGUGCCAGCAGCCGCGGUAAUACGUAGGUAGCAAGCGUUGUCCGGAUUUAUUGGGCGUAAAGCGAGCGCAGGCGGAAAAAUAAGUCUAAUGUGAAAGCCCUCGGCUUAACCGAGGAACUGCAUCGGAAACUGUUUUUCUUGAGUGCAGAAGAGGAGAGUGGAACUCCAUGUGUAGCGGUGGAAUGCGUAGAUAUAUGGAAGAACACCAGUGGCGAAGGCGGCUCUCUGGUCUGCAACUGACGCUGAGGCUUGAAAGCAUGGGUAGCGAACAGGAUUAGAUACCCUAGUAGUCCAUGCCGUAAACGAUGAGUGCUAAGUGU